rnacentral:rRNA from 1 species
AACGAACGCUGGCGGCAGGCUUAACACAUGCAAGUCGAACGGGUGUAGCAAUACAUCAGUGGCAGACGGGUGAGUAACACGUGGGAACCUUCCUCGUUGUACGGAACAACUCAGGGAAACUUGAGCUAGUACCGUAUACGUCCGAGAGGAGAAAGAUUUAUCGCAAUGAGACGGGCCCGCGUCGGAUUAGCUAGUUGGUGGGGUAACGGCCUACCAAGGCGACGAUCCGUAGCUGAUCUGAGAGGAUGAUCAGCCACACUGGGACUGAGACACGGCCCAGACUCCUACGGGAGGCAGCAGUGGGGAAUCUUGGACAAUGGGCGCAAGCCUGAUCCAGCCGUGCCGCGUGAGUGAAGAAGGCCUUAGGGUUGUAAAGCUCUUUUGCCAGGGACGAUAAUGACGGUACCUGGAGAAUAAGCCCCGACAAACUUCGUGCCAGCCGCCGCAGUAACAC